GGCGGGCGCGCCAAGACGUGGGCACCUCCUCACCCGGACCCCGGGCCCCGCCGAGCCGCCUCCUGGCUCCCGUGGCCGCCAGCCCGCCCCGGCCGCACCGAGCGUCGGGAUCCGAGGUGGGAGCGUACCCCUCCCCGCUCCCCGGACGCCUCAGUCCUCCGCACUGAGCUUGGCCACGCGCCCCUAGGCGCCCCCCACGCCCUGGGCCCCGGAGGGCCGCAGCCAUGAGUGAAAUGUCCAGCUUUCUUCACAUCGGGGACAUCGUCUCCCUGUACGCCGAGGGCUCCGUCAAUGGCUUCAUCAGCACUUUGGGGUAGCCGAAGCAGAGAGGGAAGGCAGCAUAUGUCAGCGUUUUCUUCUCUGCACUUGUAAGAAAGAUCGAAGACUUUAAGACUUUCACUAUUUCUUCUACCGCUAUCUACUGCGCUCUUCAAAGAGGAACCAGGAGUACGGGAGGAGCAUGAAAGUGGACAAGGAGUGGGACCAUUGAAGCACAGCACCACAGGGAAGGGUUUAAGCCUCCGGAUGACUGCGCGCAGGCCUGGAUAAUAUCCAGCCUUCCACAAGAAGCUGGUGGAGCAGAGUGUUCCCCAACUCUUCCAAGGAAAGGAGACUCCCUUUCGCGGUCUGCUAAUUAACGGGUGCAUUCCCAGACACUGGCGUUACCACUUGACCAAGGAGCCCUCAAGCGGCCCUUAUGUGGGCGUGACAGAGGGCUCACCUCUUGCCUUCCAGGUCACUUCUCACAAUGUCCCUUCAGCACCUGACCCUAUACCCACCGGUUAUUCCUAGGUUAUAUUAGUAAUGCAACAAAGAGUAAUAUUAAAAGCUAAAGAUUAAUAGUGAUUGCUAAUUGUCCAUGAUCAUCUCUAUAUCUAAUUUGUAUUAUGACUAUUCUUAUUCUAUUUUUUUUAUUAUACUGAAACAGUUUGUGCCUUCAGUCUCUUGCCUUGGCACCUGGGUAAUCCUCCACCCACAGCCAGUGUCUGGGGCUGGGAGCCAGAAGACCUGGGAUCUGGAACUUGCUGUUCCAUUAACUUGUGUGACCUGGGCGGGUCAGUUUCUCCUCCAUGCCCCAGGGACAGUUUUCUCAUCCACAGCUGAAUGGGGGUGGGGGGAGGGUUGUUCAGGGUCCCUCGGGGAUUUCCCCAGUCUGUCAUUCCCCCAGUCUGUCAUUCCCCCUCCCAUGGUGCUCUGAUGGUGGCCAAGGUGGUAGGUUUUGAGUCAGGCUCCUUGAUAGUCACCUGCCCCACUUCUAUCUAGCUCCCUUCCUCCUCCUUAUCUAAUCUUUCCAGACAGCACUGACCCACCCUGCUACCUUUCCCAUGGCGCCCACCUGGAUCUCAAAGUCCACGCAGGGUGGAAUGGGGCAGAAUGGGAUGCAGCUGUCUUCCUCUCCUACCUCAGAUCAAGGUCUUGGGGUGUAGACCCCGUGGGCAUUUCAGGGACUGUGCCCUCCUGCAACCCUAGAACAAGCUGUCAACCAGCUCCUCUCCAGAGGGCCCAGAACAGCCCUGCCUGCCCACAGGCCUCCAGCCAGGACCCUUUCCCUGUAGCCCCAUCCUCCUGCUCCCUCUGCUGUUCAGACUGGUCUUGUGCCUCCCAGUGGAUGGAAGGCGCACUGCAGGGACUGUUGUCCUCUGGGCUCCUGAGCCUCUGCUGGGCUGGUCCUGGAGGGGAGAAGGGGACACACAGGUGUAGACAGGGCUCCUGUCCUCGGCACUCAGCGUGGUCGCAGGAGAUCCCAGAGGGUGGGGACCACACCCAGCACAUAGUAGGCUCGUGGUGAGGUCUGUCGAGUAGAUGGAGGCCUGGGUUGUGUCUGUGCCAUUCUCUGACCAGCUGUGUGGCUCAGGGGUUCCAUCCACUCUGUGGGCCUCACU
rnacentral:lncRNA from 10 species